rnacentral:rRNA from 2 species
UACGAACUGUGCAAACGUUAUUCGGAAUCACUGGGCUUAAAGGGUGCGUAGGCGGCUGUCUAAGCAGGGUGUGAAAGCCCCCGGCUCAACCGGGGAAUUGCGUUCUGAACUGGACGGCUGGAGUGGGAUAGGGGUGUGUGGAACUUCCGGUGGAGCGGUGAAAUGUGUUGAUAUCGGAAGGAACGCCGGUGGCGAAAGCGACACACUGGGUCUCAACUGACGCUGAGGCACGAAAGCCAGGGGAGCGAACGGG